rnacentral:rRNA from 1 species
UACGAAGGGUGCAAGCGUUACUCGGAAUCACUGGGCGUAAAGCGUGCGUAGGCGGUUUCUUAAGUCUGUCGUGAAAGCCCUGGGCUCAACCUGGGAACGGCGAUGGAUACUGGGAAGCUAGAAUGUGAGAGAGGAUGGUGGAAUUCCCGGUGUAGCGGUGAAAUGCGUAGAGAUCGGGAGGAACACCAGUGGCGAAGGCGGCAUCCUGGACCAAUUCUGACGCUGAGUGAGCGAAAGCCAGGGGAGCAAACGGG